UGGACUGAUAGGUUGGAUGGAGUUUGGGGCUUUUUGGAAAGUGCUUAAUGUCAAUUCUAGAGGAAAAUUGCUUUAAAACUAAAGAAAACACAUUAGCUUUAUCGUGAAAACAUUUGAAAUAUUCCUUCAAAGAUAGGUCAUCUGAGAAAGCUUAAGUUUAUUCAUUUAAAUAACCUUAUUUUGCGGAUUAAACUUAAAAGUGUGUUACUCUGGCAACAGACUUGUCUUUCUCUACUAUCUGACUCGAUCUAAGCCACUAAAGAGGAACCUGCUCCUGUUCAGCACUGAUAAAACCCUACUUGCAAUAACGAGUCCCCCCCCCCCUCAAAAAAAGGUGCUCCAGUCUGGCCUUUGUUUCUUCUGAAAUGACUGUUCUGCUGUGGGAAAGAAAAUGAAACAGCUCUAAAGUGCACCCCUUCACCAUGUGCCCAUGAAGCGUUGCCAAGCCAAGACUAUCGGGAAAGCUGGCCGGCUGAAAGGUGAAGGGUCACAAUGGGGGGAUAAAUACAACGGCCGGCAGACCGAAAGGGCGUCGUAGACGAAGGCCAGAUCUUCUCCCUCCUCAGCGCUCCUCUUGAUCUCUAAGGUAAAGGGUAUUCCGUUUAACUGAGAAAUAUUUAAAAAAAAAAAAAAAAGUGAUUGCUUUUUUAAUACUAUUUGUGUGCAAAAAUAUUAAGCUAUGCGGGUGGAAAUUUUUUUUGCAAGUGGCUUUUUUGUGAUGACUAAGUCGAUUAGCAACAGUGGUCAUAUGUGGUUAGUUUUUUUGUGCAUGUAACUUUCAGCUAAAAAAAAUUUAUAUAAAGUGACUUGCACGAACUUUCUUUGUCUCUUUUUAUAAAAUUCUAAGCUGUUGCUGAUUUUACUCAAUUUUCGUCGCUAGAAUCUUUAAAUGGAGACUCACCAUCUUCCAUUCAUUGCACUUUUAUAAAGGCAACCUUAGAAGUAUAGUAGCAUAGUCGCUAAACAGUGUGGACUUUUUUUUACUUGGUCUUUUUGUCACGCCUUGUGUAGCCCCCCCAUUGCACAUGGUGUAAAUUUAGUCCAACCUAUUGAUAGUGCAGGCGCAGGCAGUUGGAGAGUGGGGAUGGGGACGUGAAAGGUCAAAGAUAAGAGAUUGGAACGUGGAUCGGGUCAUCCACGUGCUUCUCAUAAAUUCUCUCACACAAGAGGGGUGCAGCAGAGGAAGAUAAACACCAACUCUGACACUGAAUCUGAAUCCCACCACAUAGUGCUGGGGGGGAGAUGUGCACGAAUUUCAGUAGCUGCAGAGCUUACAGUCAUAGGUUGAGAGCACAGCUGGCCUGAUCGUUCAGCAGACAGGAAGCAAAGCAGAAAAACCUUCUCCUUCACCACUUCCUCUAGACAAACAGAUAAGCUGUCUGUCCUCCUUUCAUCUGACAGAUUCCCAUACGCACACAAGCAGAACCACAACCUCUAUGUCAAA
rnacentral:lncRNA from 1 species